AAACUGAAGAGUUUGAUCCUGGCUCAGAUUGAACGCUGGCGGCAUGCCUUACACAUGCAAGUCGAACGGCAGCACGGGUGCUUGCACCUGGUGGCGAGUGGCGAACGGGUGAGUAAUACAUCGGAACAUGUCCUGUAGUGGGGGAUAGCCCGGCGAAAGCCGGAUUAAUACCGCAUACGAUCUACGGAUGAAAGCGGGGGACCUUCGGGCCUCGCGCUAUAGGGUUGGCCGAUGGCUGAUUAGCUAGUUGGUGGGGUAAAGGCCUACCAAGGCGACGAUCAGUAGCUGGUCUGAGAGGACGACCAGCCACACUGGGACUGAGACACGGCCCAGACUCCUACGGGAGGCAGCAGUGGGGAAUUUUGGACAAUGGGCGAAAGCCUGAUCCAGCAAUGCCGCGUGUGUGAAGAAGGCCUUCGGGUUGUAAAGCACUUUUGUCCGGAAAGAAAUCCUUGGCUCUAAUACAGUCGGGGGAUGACGGUACCGGAAGAAUAAGCACCGGCUAACUACGUGCCAGCAGCCGCGGUAAUACGUAGGGUGCGAGCGUUAAUCGGAAUUACUGGGCGUAAAGCGUGCGCAGGCGGUUUGCUAAGACCGAUGUGAAAUCCCC
rnacentral:rRNA from 1 species